rnacentral:rRNA from 1 species
UGAGGAAUAUUGGUCAAUGGGUGCAAGCCUGAACCAGCCAUCCCGCGUGAAGGACGACUGCCCUAUGGGUUGUAAACUUCUUUUGUAUAGGGAUAAACCUACCCUCGUGAGGGUAGCUGAAGGUACUAUACGAAUAAGCACCGGCUAACUCCGUGCCAGCAGCCGCGGUAAUACGGAGGGUGCAAGCGUUAUCCGGAUUUAUUGGGUUUAAAGGGUCCGUAGGCGGACUUAUAAGUCAGUGGCGAAAGCCUGUCGCUUAACGAUAGAACUGCCAUUGAUACUGUAAGUCUUGAGUAUAUUUGAGGUAGCUGGAAUAAGUAGUGUAGCGGUGAAAUGCAUAGAUAUUACUUAGAACACCAAUUGCGAAGGCAGGUUACCAAGAUAUAACUGACGCUGAGGGACGAAAGCGUGGGGAGCGAACA